rnacentral:rRNA from 1 species
UACGUAGGGUGCAAGCGUUGUCCGGAAUUAUUGGGCGUAAAGAGCUUGUAGGCGGUUUGUCGCGUCUGCUGUGAAAUUUCGGGGCUCAACCCCGAACUUGCAGUGGGUACGGGCAGACUAGAGUGUGGUAGGGGAGACUGGAAUUCCUGGUGUAGCGGUGAAAUGCGCAGAUAUCAAGAGGAACACCGAUGGCGAAGGCAGGUCUCUGGGCCACUACUGACGCUGAGACGCGAAAGCGUGGGGAGCAAACAGG